AAUCCAUAGGUUAAUGAGGCGAACCGGGGGAACUGAAACAUCUAAGUACCCCGAGGAAAAGAAAUCAACCGAGAUUCCCCCAGUAGCGGCGAGCGAACGGGGAGGAGCCCAGAGCCUGAAUCAGCAUGUGUGUUAGUGGAAGCGUCUGGAAAGGCGCGCGAUACAGGGUGACAGCCCCGUACACAAAAGCGCAUGUGCUGUGAGCUCGAUGAGUAGGGCGGGACACGUGGUAUCCUGUCUGAAUAUGGGGGGACCAUCCUCCAAGGCUAAAUACUCCUGACUGACCGAUAGUGAACCAGUACCGUGAGGGAAAGGCGAAAAGAACCCCGGCGAGGGGAGUGAAAAAGAACCUGAAACCGUGUACGUACAAGCAGUGGGAGCCCCACCACCAAAGCGUUUCGCUUUGUGUGGUGCACAAAGAAGCGUAACGACAGCACUGAAUGACGGUUAACGGAGCGCAAGCGACGUUCAACAUACAAAGUCAAGCAGUGGAGCGCUUUGGGGUGGGGUGACUGCGUACCUUUU
rnacentral:rRNA from 1 species